UGGUGCCUUCCCCUGGCCCGUGCUUUGAAUAAUUGACUAAAUGUGAGACCCGUGGGUCAAGGGCUCUGCUGUGCUCAGCUCUGCGGCCAGGCUGCCUGUGCUUAAAGGCCAGCUCCCCCAUUUGAUUCUUCCUUGCUUCACCACUGCCUGCUUACCCAUAGAAGGGGGAUGUCAACGGCCAAGCAGAAAUGGACAACUACCCUAUGCUUUCGUAGAAUUUGGCUCAUGGAUUGAUCUCAAGGCACUAUGCUCAGAAGGACUUUGACAGGAGAGUCCAGAGGUGAGGUCCAAAUCCAACAGAAGUUGUUUGUAGUUUUCGAAGCAAACCACCUGUCACCGUGCAUCAGGAAAGUGAGCAGCCUCACAAAGCAGGCGCUUCACUCCCAGCCAGUUAUUGCAAACAUUCUGCACAUUGAACUGACGCGAAGCACCCCAAGAAUAUCG
rnacentral:lncRNA from 1 species